AAUUCAUUUUUGGUUUAUUCAUGCAUGGAUGUGGCCAACCAUAGUGCGAAGUCAAGUUGUUCUAUAGAAUAUGAAUUUUUUUUUUUCAGAGAAUGCGGUGUUUUGGCUCUUCAAUAGAAUGUAAUUUUGGUUCGUUCAAGAAAGGACAAGGACAGCUAUAGUGCAGAGUCAAGGUGUUCCGGAGAACGUGGUUUUUGGUUGUUCAGAACAUAAUCUUGGUUUAUUUGAGCAUGGCCGAGGCCAGUUAUAGUAUGAAGUCACUGUGUUCUGGAGAACAUGGAGAUUUUUUUCGGAAAAGGAGGUUUUUGGUUUACUUGCACACAACCAAAACCGGCUAUAGCACAAGGUUAAAGGUGUUCUGGAGAACAUAGGUUUUCUUUCGUAAGGAUUGGUGGGAACCCUCGAUAUAGGUUAGCUUCGGGAACUCUGUUGUGUGUCGUAACACGAAAUUAAUAAAAUGGGUAGCAUAAACCUUAAGGAAAGGGUAAGGCGGUUUUCUGCUUGAUGAGAAACACGUUAUAUUGGUGCAAAGGUUUUACGGUUUGUGUAAAGGUUAUAAAGCUGGGUUCCUGUAGGCAAGUAUGAACCAAUAGCUUUGGAGUACACACAAGUAGGUGCGAGCACAAAUGAUUAAAUGAGGUUCCCUGUAAAUACAUUAGAUGUGACAAGGAUGAUUAUGCUCAUUAUGAAGCAGAAUAAAAAUUCAUUCGAAAGGUUUCAUUGUGUGCGUAAGGAAUUUUAUGCUAAGGUUCAUUCAUAGACUUACAUCCAGCUUCAGUGAGGCUAAUGACUGAUAGCUGUAAGUUGCAAUGGGGCAAGGAUUCGAACUGCAAAUUACAGAGUGCGAGAUAUGAGCAAUAAGGUUACCACUUUUACAUUUUUGCCUGUGAGGGGACUCUAAAUCCAAAGAAGGGAAAUUACUUUCAUGAUUUUAACAAGUAAACUGACUUACUCACCAUGAGGAUUUUAUGUACCUGACUGUUAAUUGUGGGGGCAGACAAAACAUGAGGGGAAAAGAGAUGAGCUGAAGGCUUUACCCAACAGGGAAAUGUUGCAGAUAAGACACUUAGGUCCACUUCAAAAUCACAUAUAUUUACAUAAAACAAACAUCAGAAGAAUGUGAACUGAAAUAGGCAGGUAAACAGAGUCCUGCGUAAUAAAUAAGUUACAUUAACGGCAAAAAUAAGUGAAGAAUGCCAGAGAAAUACGCUUCAAGGGGACUGUAAUUUAAGUUACAGUGGUUUUGGAACCACAUCACACAGGCACAAUCAAAAGGAGGAUUACAGAGCAAGCAACUCCGUCUGCAAUUGAGAAUGCAAGUUACUUGACGUAAGUUACAGCACAGUCAUAGGAAAAUUUGGACAGAUGCUCGGAAGGUAUCAGCAAUGGGAACACACUUAUGGGUUAAACUAAUGUACAGCAAUAAUAAAGUCAGGUCUAACAUGAAAUUGCACCAUUGAUAAAAAAAAAUUAAAUCAUAAAAAGAAUAAUGAAGUCGUGACUGAUAAAGAAAACUGAUUUCGGUUAUGACAAUCCAUAUCACUUUCUCAUUAGUAUAUUAAGUAGUUACUUAGAAGUAAAUACGCAAGAUUGGUAACCCCUAUAGCUUUACAUAAUGAUAGGAUGUGUUUCUUGCAGGUAAAAUUUUAAUGCACUUUUAGAUUUCAUUUUAUUGUAACUUUUGAGAGUAUUUUGAUUUGUAAGGUGAGGCAUGGUGUGUUGAGUAAGAAUUAAAUAGUGAUUAGCAAAUUACUAAUUGAUAUUAUACAACAUGGUCAGUUAAAUAUUCUAUGCUCAGAUAAGGUAAUAAACAUCCUUCUUAGUUACAAAGUUCUGUGAUAGUUUAUUCCAGUUGCAUCAUCUAAUAUAUGAAGUUGGACCAAGCCAACUACCUUCACUCAAAAGUAUUUUUUAUAAAUAGCGUUUUAAAUUUUGUAGUCGGGGUUGGGGGGGUGUUGUUUUGGUGGCUUGGGGGAACUUUGAUCAUCGUCUAAAUGUAAGUUGUCAACCUUUACCACUACAUUCAACACUUUCCUUACAGGAGGAUUUGAUGCAUCUUCCAGAGACAGCUCUUCACUGCCCUACCAACGAAAAGUCCAUAAAAAUGGCAGUAUAAAGAACUAUAAAUCAGAUAUUUUAAAACUAUAUGUAUGAUAUGAAUUAGAUGUAUUUUGAGUUGCACCGUUGGCAUAAAAUAAUGAAUUAAUUCAUUUACAGAAUCCACUCCAGAGGUCUCACAAAGGUUUAAGGGCAAACUCCAGUUGAACAAAAGAUUAUCUCUAGUUGGAGCUGCAGUUAAAGAUACAGAGUACAGAGCUACAAUGUUGGCACGCCUCAAAACAAUUGAGGAAAAUCAGCAGCUGAUGGUAAACCUACUACAGUCUGUAGCUUCUGCUGUAGGUUCAAGAGGGGAGGAUGUGGAUGAUGUUUUGCCAGCCCCAGGAUGCAGUUUAGAGGAGUUGGAUGACUUGUGCACUAAGUUAACUGAUAAAACAUUAAAAAAGAAAUUGGAGCAUGCUUAAGAAACUACAGAAAGGUAAAAUUAUCCGAAGUGGAACAUGAAAUUAGUGAAGCCCUGAAGCAUGCCCCCAAAAGAAAAGGUGGCCUGAAGUACAAGGAUCCUGAGCCUAAAAGACCCAAUUAUUUAAUAGUACAAGAGUCAUCCGAUUCAGAAAACUAGGCCCAGUUUAAAUAAAGACGAAGUGCAAGUUUUCAGUGCCCCAAGAAGGUCAUAGAGUAUGAGGCCCUCCACCCCCACACUCCUAUCAUCGUACUUCCCAUUGUCUAUACCACAUAACCGUCAUUUACCACCUGCUACUACUUAAUGCAGUAAUUGUCGAUGUGCAAGCAGGUCAGCACCAAGUCUGCCUCGCUCCAAAGAACCCUCCUGUGCAAGAUAAAAUUCAUGAUCUUAUAAUUCAUAAUAUAAGUUUUUAUUUCUUAUCUGCUACCAGGAGAGACCAAGUAAAGUACUGCUUUGAAUUAAAGACAAUCUUCUUUUUACAGAAUAUGUUUGUGCUGUAUGGUACUAUUUUCGUUAUAUAUUU